AUUUUUCCUUAACCCGCAAGGCCAAUAGGAACGCCACCCCCACAGUCGGAAAAAAGCUGACAAUAUAUCCUUUGGGCGACGGCGGCCCCCAGCUCCCCAUUCUGAUCGAUGGACAAGCGACGAAGAGAAAUGAUUGAGCUGCCCGUGGAAGUCUUGGCGGAUAUCCUCUCCAGACUCCCCGUGAAAUCGCUGAUGUGCUUGAAAUCCGUCUGCCGGUCAUGGCGCUCUCUGGUCGGCGAUCCUCAUUUCGUCGCCGAGUAUCUGGCGCGGUCCGGCUCCAACCGCUUUCUCCUGGCAAACUACUACUCGGACCUCCACGGUCAGUACCUCAUCUCGCUGCUCUCUUGCGAAACCCUCGAGGUGAUCGGCCGUGUCGAGAUCCCGCAUCCUAUCCGCUCCGGAUAUUUUAGGGUCGUCGGCUCAAUUAAUGGCAUUGUUUGCUUGGUAUCCGACCUCCCUGGCUAUCGCGUCUCGCUAUUGAACCCUGCAACUAGAGAAUCGAGGCUCCUGGCCGAUCCUUCAAUCCCCUUAGAAGUUCCCCGGACCUCGGUAUACAGGGGGGUUUACUAUGGAUUCGGUUACCAUCGUGGAAUCGAUGAUUACAAGCUGGUUAGGAUCAUCGCGACCAUCGAUAGCGGAAGCAAGCUGCAUUACGGUUACCGAGCCAAGGUUUUCUCACUCAAAGAUGGUCUAUGGAAAGAAAUCCCAGCUCCAAACUGUGAUAUUGUUUAUAAGCUUGACGGGACCGUCGCUGAAGGAGUUGUUCAUUGGAUUGCUUGCGGAGGCAGACAUGAAGGUUCUGAGGUUGUCUUGUCCUUUGACCUGGGCAAUGAUAAGUUUGAGCGGCAGUGCCUUCCUGAUCUCGGGGAGGAUGAUGGAGACUGUAAGAGGCUCACUGUAUUUGAAGAAUCACUUCGGUUGGUAGUCUAUUCUCGCUUGAGGGGAGAUAGGUGCCUCGUCAUAUGGGUGAGGAAUUCUCGAGCUUCUCAAGACGUUUGGACUAGACUAGCUAGAAUUGAGCCAACCUUUGGAACUCACAGGCCGGUGGGCUGGGGAGCAAGGGGCGAAUUUCUUAUGGAAAACAAUUAUGGAAAGUUGGUUGUCUAUGAAGUAAAUAACCAGAAUAUCCAAAACAAACGUGUUGAUGCUGAGAAGAUUCCAUGUUACUUCGAUUUCCAUCCCUACGUGGAGAGUGUAGUUCCGCUCACGAGAUAAGUUGGCGUUCUCUACUCUGUUCCUCUUUCCACCGGAAAAUCUCUAGAACUGCAAGACGCUACGGGUAAAAAACAGAGGCUGAGGCCAUUGUUUGAGGAGCUAAUGCGUCGGAGGCCUACGAUUUCAUACACCAUAAGGGCUAGAACUAGUGAUGGAGGCUUGGAGCUCCUGUGCAAUCUGAUGGCUCCUCCCCCGUUUUCUUCUCCGUCGGGAAUCAUCAUCAUCAUCAUCGGCAGCAGCAGGAGGAGCAGCAGCAGAACAUGCUCUGCUUCCUGUCUUCGAAAUUGGACUCUCCGUCGUCCCAGUUGAUUCACAAUUCUUCGUCCUCUUUUGGUAAUCUUUUGGGUACAUUUACUGGUAAUUCAUGCUGUCUUUUAAGCUCAGUGGCAGAUUUUACCUGGGCAGCAAUUACAUUGUCAAAAAGCCCUGUUUUGGAUGGAAAAUGCAGUCAACGAGAAAGACAGGGAAGGAGGGAGUGAGUCCCAUGCACAUUCCCAUGGCGUCCACAGCACGGUUUGUGCGAAAAAAGCGCCACGUCAGUACGCCAUUUGUUUUUUUUUUUGACGGAAUGUUAUCGGCAGUAAAAAAAUUAAAAUUUUGUGCUAUCUAGUAAAAUUAUUUUUAUUUGUGCUACAA